rnacentral:lncRNA from 1 species
CUUCUCUCAUCUAAUGCAUUUACUACUUCUCUCUUAUAAUUCAUAUCUCGGGAACGAGCACAUAAAUUCUCUGUAAACAGUAGCUGGCGUUUUACCACCGCGCAGCCAAAUAAAAAGCACUCAUGGAAAAGUUCUUUGUAUCUGAACUAUGGUCUUCAGAAGAGAUGCCCGUGGAUGCUUAGUUGAAGAAUACUUUAUGUUCCUCCACAUACUCGAACAACAACGACAACGACAACAAAAGACUCUUUUGAUUUGUGUUUUAUUUUCUGGGGGCAAUUUUAACUCUCCAAGCAAUCUGAGCAACUGCAGAAUUUCUUAUUAAAAGUUACUUAAAAUAUAAUAAAUUAAAAAUGGUACUGCUCUGAUUAAAUAUCUAAAGAACCUCAAAUAAUCCUUGUAUUUUGCUAUUCACUUAAGCAGAUGAAGACUGCCUGUUUAGUCUUUUAUAGGAUAGCAAAAGGCUCCUGGGCUCUGACUGAGGCACGCUGACUGGGAAAACAUGAUUUCUGAAGACGCACUGUAUAUUGACAUUUUCUCUGCCCACAUUCCAUGUUGUCUACUGGAAAUGUCCUCCUAUUAACGUUUACGCAGAUGGGACACACCGCUGUAGGAAAGGAGAGAGCUUUCAAGAUCAUCUAGCCAUUUUUUAUAUAAAAAGUGACCGAGGUGCACAGACAUGCAGAGAUUUGUCUGGACACACACAGUGGUGAUGUCAGGACUUCCACCAGCACCCUGACUCUCUGUCCAGUGCUCUUUCUAUUUGCGUGGCAGUACGGAGUCCAACAGAGAAAUAUCUAAAAUGCCUCCUCCAGCCUCCAUCCCUAAUUGGGGAUGUUAUUUACAAAUGGGAAAUUGGGAGCAGUCCAGUAUGAUUAGCCUAUUGUGGUAUUAGACAUUUAUGAAGACAAACACAGACCUCAAUUGAUGCUUUUAGUGAUUGCAUCAGAGUAAAGGUAAACCCACCCAGAAAAACAAAUCUCAUAAAUAUACAUGAAUUCAUAAAAACUGGCUAAAGUGUUAACUUCGAAUAAUCUGUGUUUUAGCAGUGUCUUAAAUUUAAAGGACUGUAGCCAUGGUGGUUGACACAUCAGGAUGACAUAACUUCUCCUUAUUAAAACUUUAUCCCAGAAUUUAUGGUCUAGAAAAAGCUUGAAGCACUUUGGUGCACUUUUAGAGAAAAAAG